AUGGUAACAUUGGUUCCAAAAUGAUCACUGAAGUUAAGCAAAGUCAAGCCUGGUCAGUACCUAGAUGGGUGACCGCUUGGAAAUACCAGGUGCUGUAG